rnacentral:rRNA from 1 species
GGGGAAUAUUGCACAAUGGGCGAAAGCCUGAUGCAGCAACGCCGCGUGGAGGAAGAAGGCCUUCGGGUUGUAAACUCUUGUCUUCUGGGACGAUAAUGACGGUACCAGAGGAGGAAGCCACGGCUAACUACGUGCCAGCAGCCGCGGUAAUACGUAGGUGGCGAGCGUUGUCCGGAUUUACUGGGCGUAAAGGAUGCGUAGGCGGAUAUUUAAGUGGGAUGUGAAAUACCCGGGCUCAACCUGGGUGCUGCAUUCCAAACUGGAUAUCUAGAGUGCGGGAGAGGAAAGUGGAAUUCCUAGUGUAGCGGUGAAAUGCGUAGAGAUUAGGAAGAACACCAGUGGCGAAGGCGACUUUCUGGACCGUAACUGACGCUGAGGCAUGAAAGCGUGGGGAGCAAAC